rnacentral:rRNA from 1 species
UAGGUAUAAGGAGCGAACCUGGGGAACUGAAACAUCUAAGUACCCAGAGGAAAAGAAAUCAACCGAGAUUCCCUUAGUAGCGGCGAGCGAACGGGGACCAGCCCUUAAGCUCUAUUUGUGUUAGUGGAACAUACUGGAAAGUUUGGCCAUAGUGGGUGAUAGCCCCGUACACGAAAAUGCAUUUAGAGUGAAAUCGAGUAGAUCGGGACACGUGAUAUCCUGAUUGAACAUGGGGGGACCAUCCUCCAAGGCUAAAUACUACUUGUCGACCGAUAGUGAACCAGUACCGUGAGGGAAAGGCGAAAAGAACCCCUGUUAGGGGAGUGAAAUAGAUCCUGAAACCGUAUGCAUACAAGCAGUGGGAGCACCUUCGUGGUGUGACUGCGUACCUUUUGUAUAAUGGGUCAGCGACUUACUUUCAGUGGCAAGCUUAACCGUUAGGGGAGGCGUAGGGAAACCGAGUCUUAAUAGGGCGUCAUAGUCGCUGGGAGUAGACCCGAAACCGGGCGAUCUAUCCAUGGCCAGGGUGAAGGUGAGGUAAAACUUACUGGAGGCCCGAACCCACUUAUGUUGAAAAAUGAGGGGAUGAGCUGUGGAUCGGAGUGAAAGGCUAAACAAGCCCGGAGAUAGCUGGUUCUCCUCGAAAUCUAUUUAGGUAGAGCCUCGCAUAUCACUGUUGGGGGUAGAGCACUGU